rnacentral:rRNA from 1 species
ACGGAAGGCAGCAGUGGGGAAUAUUGCACAAUGGGCGAAAGCCUGAUGCAGCGACGCCGCGUGAGUGAAGAAGUAUCUCGGUAUGUAAAGCUCUAUCAGCAGGGAAGAAAAUGACGGUACCUGACUAAGAAGCCCCGGCUAACUACGUGCCAGCAGCCGCGGUAAUACGUAGGGGGUAAGCGUUAUCCGGAUUUACUGGGUGUAAAGGGAGCGUAGACGGUUUGGCAAGUCUGAAGUGAAAUGCGGGGGCUCAACUCCUGAACUGCUUUGGAAACUGUCGAACUAGAGUGCAGGAGAGGUAAGUGGAAUUCCUAGUGUAGCGGUGAAAUGCGUAGAUAUUAGGAGGAACACCAGUGGCGAAGGCGGCUUACUGGACUGUAACUGACGUUGAGGCUCGAAAGCGUGGGGAGCAAACAGGAUUAGAUACCCUGGUA